AGAGCGAACGCUGGCGGCGUGCUUAACACAUGCAAGUCGAACGCGCAGCAUUCUGUAGCAAUACAGGGUGUGGGCGCGUGGCGAACGGGUGCGUAACACGUGGAUAACCUUCCUUCAGGUGGGGAAUAACUCAGUGAAAAUUGGGCUAAUACCGCAUAACAAAACGAUGAGACAUCUUGUUGUUUUCAAAGGCGCAAGUCGCCAGAAGAGGGAUCCGCGGCCGAUUAGCUUGUUGGCGAGGUAAUGGCUCACCAAGGCAAUGAUCGGUAGCCGGACUGAGAGGUUGGCCGGCCACACUGGAACUGAGACACGGUCCAGACUCCUACGGGAGGCAGCAGUGGGGAAUCUUGCACAAUGGGCGAAAGCCUGAUGCAGCAACGCCGCGUGGGGAUGAAGCUUCUCGGAGUGUAACCCCUUUCGACCCGGAAGAAACGCCGCGAAGGGUUUGACGGUACGGGUAUAAGGAAGCCCGGCUAACUACGUGCCAGCAGCCGCGGUAAU
rnacentral:rRNA from 1 species